GAUGAACGCUGGCGGCGUGCCUAAUACAUGCCAGUCGAGCGAACAGAUGAGGAGCUUGCUCCUCUGACGUUAGCGGCGGACGGGUGAGUAACACGUGAUAACCUACCUAUAAGACUGGGAUAACUUCGGGAAACCGGAGCUAAUACCGGAUAAUAUAUUGAACCGCAUGGUUCAAUAGUGAAAGACGGUUUUGCUGUCACUUAUAGAUGGAUCCGCGCCGCAUUAGCUAGUUGGUAAGGUAACGGCUUACCAAGGCAACGAUGCGUAGCCGACCUGAGAGGGUGAUCGGCCACACUGGAACUGAGACACGGUCCAGACUCCUACGGGAGGCAGCAGUAGGGAAUCUUCCGCAAUGGGCGAAAGCCUGACGGAGCAACGCCGCGUGAGUGAUGAAGGUCUUCGGAUCGUAAAACUCUGUUAUUAGGGAAGAACAAAUGUGUAAGUAACUAUGCACGUCUUGACGGUACCUAAUCAGAAAGCCACGGCUAACUACGUG
rnacentral:rRNA from 1 species